ACCCCACCACCAGCACCCAAAGGUGACAUUCUAAUUAAACUAUUCCCUG
rnacentral:tRNA from 1 species